rnacentral:lncRNA from 1 species
GUUCCUAGUUGAAAGCCAACAGGACCGUAUGUACUAAGGUAAAAAAAACGUAUUUUUUAAAUGUUUAUAAGAGUAAUUAUGAAAACGAAAUCAAGUUAGACAUUCUGAAUGAUUUAUUUGUAAAUAUUGACCGGCCAAUAUGUAUACGUAUUUACUAUUAAAAAAAUCAGCUUUCGUUUUUGUUAUGUCAGCUAGGUGGUCUAUUGUUAUUGUAUGUAUUUGUGAUAUAAUUGAUAAAAUACAUACUGCAUUCCACAUUUGUGUUUUUACAUUUGGUUAUGUGGGGUGUUUUAUAGCUUAUUUUAUGCUAUGGAUAUUUAAUUGACCAUUUUUGAUGGUGGAUGGUCAGUGUCAAAUAAAAAUUUAUGUUUGUGUUUUUAUUUUAAAUUUAUAAUGUCCUUGUUUUGAUCAGUGUUUAUUCAUCGACUUAAGCCGUGUUCACAUCGACCUGUUGUCUUCGUAUUAUUCACAUGUAAACUAAACACAAUUUCGUUCCCAUUGAUAAAACUCAAUGUUCAUAUCAAAUUUAAAUAAAUUGUUGUCAACAUUCAGUCGAUGGAUAUUGUAGGCCUUGUGUGGUCUACGUGUACACAAAACUGGCUAUAUAGAACAUGAAUUUACCGUGUCUAUUUAAAGAAGAAACGAUUUUUUAAUUUAUUUGAUAUUUAUCGCUUCUGUGUGUGUUGAAUUGUUUUUUUUUUUUUUUUUGUUGUUGCACUUUAGUGUUUCUUUGUUUUCCUUUUCUAUUUUAUGUAUUUCCCGAAAUGUUAGUUUAUGACCCGGAGUUGGUUUCUCUCAAUCGGUUUGUGACUUUCAAACACCGGUUUACUACUGUUGCCUUUAUUGAAUUAAAUUAUUUACAGUAUAAUUUGUCUUAACUUGAUAUAUUGCUUUUAUUAGAAAAUAAAACCAAAGAUAGCUAGCCUUAUUAACCCGUUAUCAAGACCCGAAGCAUAAUUGUUGCCAAACAUAAUUCAUUUGAAAAGGUCUUCCCUUAUAGACGUCAUUUAAAUGUUUGCCACUGGUCUUUACACAAUAAUUGAUUUACUUAUACAUUUUGUAAAUGCAUUAAUUAAAAGAGUGUGCGGUAAAUUGUUUUGUUUGGCUAGUAUCUCAUAUCCGGUAAAAUGUACUUAGAAUAAAAAAGCAUUUAUUUGCAAUGUACGAACUAUUAUUUUAAAGCCAAAGUCGUAGUAUUUAUUUUUUUUCUGAAUCAAUUUUUUUUUCGCGCGAACCAUUUAUUCAGUGAAACACAACACUGAAUUACACGUUUGCGCGACAAAAAGUUUCGUCUCUAUCAAUCAUUUUUUUCUUCAGUAUUUGGGAGUUGAAUGGUGGUUUCAUUAAUUCUAGAAAAAUUGUCCAGAAAUUUGCGUUCGACUUUAUGUACUGAUAUUUAAAUGACGUAUAGUUUACAAGUGUAAGCAAAUCUAACGUACAGGUAAUCAACACAGCUGUAUAGAUGUGAACAAGUUUAAUGUGAAACCAGUGUACAUUACAUUCAUUACAUUUAUCCAAUUGUAAAAAAGAAGAUGUUGUAUGAUUGCCAAUGAGACAACUAUCCACAAAAACCCAAAAUGACACAGACAUUAACAACUAUAGGUCACCGUACGGCAUUCCACAAUUAGCAAAGCCCAUACAGCAUAGUCAGCUAUAAAAGGCCCCGAUAAGACAAUGUAAAACAAUUCAAACGACAAAACUAACGGCCUUAUUUAUGUAAAAAAAUGAAAAACAAAUAUGUAACACAUAAACAAAAGACAACCACUGAAUUACAGGCUCCUGACUUGGGACAGGCACAUACAUAAAUAAUGUUGCGGGGUUAAACGUGUUAGUGGGAUCCCAACCCUCCCCUAACCUGGGACAGUGGUAUAACUGUUAACAUGUUUACUGUACAUGGCGUUCGGUGUGAACACGGCCUUAUUCGGGUCACAGUAUUUGUGAUUAAAACUAAAAUAAAAUUAUAAUCAGAAACAAAUAAUUACUGACGGAUCAAGGUAGGAACGUAGAGUGCGUAAUAGAAUAAUUUUUUAUGACAUUUUCGUCACCACUACAAACAAUUAUGGCCCGGUCCCCCAUUUCUCUCAAGCCUUUAUCUUCCCCCGACAGUGUAUUAACAUGCAUGUUUAUUAACAAUAACAUACAUAUACAAUAUAUGUAUGUUGUCGGAAAAUAUAUAAUUUAUUUGUAUGAGCUUUAGAAAAAGGACGAAAAGCGAGGCUCUGCCGAGCUUUUGUCCUGAAUCGUAGCGAGUACAAAUGUAUUUUAUAUUUGCCGGCAAUGUACAUAUAUUGUUUUAACCUUUAAUUACUCCCAACACUUGAAUCUGUAGUUAUUAAAAUCAAAAUCAUUGUCUUUAAUGUUUCGAAGAAAUCGACAUCGUUGAAACGCUGAUCGCGAAGAGAACCCCAAAAUGAACUGGUUUGAAAACAGAAAUGUUCAUAUUGCCACUUGCUCAGCAUGUAAUUGGGGUCACAUGAGACUUUAUUUGUACAAUUACUAAUAAAGCAAACAUUUAUUUGUAUACCUGUUAUUUGUACAAUAGAUGGCUAAUUGCAGGAAAAACAGCGGUAGUGUUGCCAGGGAGAAAACUAUUUGUAAAGGUGUACGGCUCAAAUAUAUUCAAUGAGGACAUAUGAGUUGAGAAGUUAUUUUUGUUUUCCGCAAAUUUUGGAAACCUUUUCAGAACAGUUAUAUGAAACACGUUUUACGCAGACUAAAAUCAUUUGCUAUCGAUCCUGGCCGCUCGAAAUAUUAUUUAAAGAAUUAAUUUAUCAAAAGCCGAACUCCCUGUCGAAUUAAACUCAGAAUCUUGAAUAGCAAACAUGUUUUAAGGGGAAAUAAGAUACCACUAAAUUGUAAACGCCUUUGAUGUUAACAAUUCUCUUCUUGACUCUAGAGCUUGGCCCGAGUAAAAGUUCACCAGGACUAAUCCAUCUUAAACCUUAGAUCGAAAAUAGGGAGAAAAAUGUUGAGGACAUCAAACAACAAUUCUUUUAUGUCUUGAUGGGGAAAGAUGGACCCACUUUAAAGAGAAAUAAUUAUUAUCGAAGGUUCCACGAAAAUUUUUAGUGGUAACAAGUGGUAUAAAUCGUAUGAUCCUAAACCUUUGAACUCAUUGACGUGUAGCUUGAUAAGGAUCGAGAUUACUAUUACUAUAAACUUGUUUUGAGAUGAACUUGAAUAUUGAUAUAGCUAUUUUGAGUAUUUUAACAAAUAAGUCUAAAACAAAAACGUUUAAAGCCUGAUAACAAUGCAAAUAGGUCAGACAGAAUACAAAACUAUCAUUACUAAUUAGUAUCAGCAUAAUGUCUAACGAACAACUGCUGCAUGUUAUUUAGUACAUGUAGAUUUUAAUUACUUCUUUAUUUUCGAAUUCAAGGGCACAAAAUGUAACCGUCUCCUUCAUCUACAUAUUGACAAAUAUUUUCAACAAAACAGAGUAAUUAUGGAACUUCUAAAACUUUAAACAAGUUAUUUUGUAGACCGGGAAAGGCGUUCUAAUCAAUUAAUAGCUAUAUUUGCAUAAAUAUUAUUUUGCAGUUUUGUGAUAUGGCCUCAUAUUCCCAAAGUUGUGGUGUGUGUGACCUCCGACACAUCAACAAACCAUCAAUAAUCUGGUGUACGGAAUGUGAUGAAGGGCUUUGUCAAGAUUGUCAGGAACACCAUGGUUUGUCCAAGGGAACCAGAAACCAUCACACCAUAACAAUAAAGGAAUAUAAAACAUUACCAAGUGAAGUACUUACAAUCACUCAAUACUGUAGCACACACAAAGACAAAUUUAUAAUGUAUUGCCGGAAACACGAACGUCCCUGCUGCAGAAAAUGUAUAGUUGAAACUCAUAAAGAAUGCCUGGAUAUCGAUAAUUUAGAAGACGUCAUUAAAAAUGUAAAAACCUCAAAUGCCUUCCACGAUAUUGAAGAAACAUUGGUUGAAGUAGCAGAAAAUUUAAAGAAAAUCAGUCAACAUCAGCAGAAGAGUCUGUUGAAUUUGAAAGAAAAAAGAAAACAAAUUCAAAAAGAAAUUCAAAAGACCCGUACAACAAUCAACAACCAUCUGGACAAAUUACAAGGAGAUUUGAUAAAACAACUUAAUUCUAUUGAAGAAACCCAGAACUCGAAAAUUUGUCAGUUGUUGUCAUCACUUGAACAGAGAGAAAAAGAAAUAACUAGAUACCAGCAAAACCUUGCAAGCAUUAAACAACACGCCUCAGACCUUCAGAUUUUUCUUUCACUUAAGCAAAUCGAACAAGACAUUAAUAUACAUGAUAAAUUCCUACAAACCGUAGUGGGAGGUGAGAAAUUGAAGCAAGGUCAUCUAGAAUAUAGAACCAACAUUGCUAUUCAAGAUAUCAUGUCCAAUAUCAAAAGUUUUGGAGAAGUACAGAUUGAAACUAAACCAUGUGACAUCGUUCUUAGCAGGAAGAAGACUAAACAAGCACAGAUAAUGGUACCAAACGUUCAAACAAGAUCCAUUGAGAAUAUAAAGCUGGAGAUGCACAAAAAAGCAGUAGCAACUGAAGGAAGAAACGUCUACGGGUGUUGCCUUAUACCAGAUGGUAGAAUGGCUUUUACUUACUACUAUGAUUGUGCAGUUAGAGUUUUCAGUGAUAAAGGAUCAAAAGACUUUGAGGUGAAGAUGCCGUGUACAGUAAACGAUAUACUGUAUAUUAGUAAGGACGAUUCAUUAGCCGUAUCAUCUGGUGGUUCAAGUCAGCAUUGUAUUUUUAUAAUAAACGUUAAAAGAAAACAAAUCACGAAAACAAUUACACUUGACUCGUAUAUUUAUGGCAUAGCACUUAGAGAAAAUAUUUUAAUAUAUUCUGCUUAUAACAAAGGAAUCCGAAUGAUCAAUCUUUCCGAUGAGUCAAUUACUCAAAUAGUCCAAGAUAUAAUGCCAGAUAGUUGUUACAUUGCAACGUUUCGGAACCAAAUAUAUCACACAAACUCGGUAACACAUGCUGUUACUUGUUACGAUCAACAAGCUAAACCGCAAUGGACAUUCAAAAAUAAAAACUUUCUGAAGCAUCCUCAUGGUAUUGAUGUAGAUAUUGAUGGUAAUUUGUAUGUGGUUGGUAAGGGAUUCGAACAAUGUUGUAGUUAUCUCCCCUGACGGACAACGCUAUAGAGAAGUGUUAGCAGCAAGUGAUGGGCUUAAUGUUCCUACUUCACUUUGUUUUAAUAAUUCAAAGAAGCAGUUGCUAGUGACUAACUGGAAAAAUGAGGCCCGACUGUAUGCUUUGAUUUGAAAAGUCUUUUUAAUUAUUUAUUAUCUUUAAUUGUGUAUCGUCACAGCUACACAUUUUUCGAUGAAAUGAUUAGUUUGACAGUUGACAUAAAUUAUGUUAUGAAAUCAUCUUGAUGUUUAAAAUAUGUUUUUAUUAGAUUUUUCAUAAACAAAAUAAUACAUAAAACAGAA